rnacentral:guide_RNA from 1 species
ACCACCAGAACUCUAUCCGAUGUGAGA